GCAUAUUAGAUGACACUAGAAGACAAAUAGCAAUUGGUGACGUAAUUAGAUCCAUCACAUAAAAAGCAAAAAUGAAUCAGCAAUUCGAAAUUCAUAAUAGGAGUUUAUCAAAAUAGAAAUGACAGAUUUUUCAGUAACAAACAACAGUGAUAUUGGACUUAAAUCUCUCUUAGAAUCCAGCGAGCAAGGAGCAUACAAUUCCAGAUUUUCUUCUUGUCUUCAGCCUUUUCAGAUAUAACUUCUGUAUAUUUUAGUUACUGCGAAGGUGUUUUGGCGUGUGAGUGAGAUGAGAAGAGUAAGAAAUCGAGAAGAAAAAGAGGGCUGUGUUCUUUCUUCUAUGGUGUGUGGAGGUCCAAUUGUUGAGUGAAAAUGAGAAGAAGACCCAGGAGUGUAACGACGCUCCUCUCAUUUGCUAGGUCUU
rnacentral:lncRNA from 1 species